GUUGGGUAGGGGAGCGUUCUGUAAGCCUGUGAAGGUGGCCUGUGAGGGUUGCUGGAGGUAUCAGAAGUGCGAAUGCUGACAUAAGUAACGAUAAAGCGGGUGAAAAGCCCGCUCGCCGGAAGACCAAGGGUUCCUGUCCAACGUUAAUCGGGGCAGGGUGAGUCGACCCCUAAGGCGAGGCCGAAAGGCGUAGUCGAUGGGAAACGGGUUAAUAUUCCCGUACUUGGUGUUACUGCGAAGGGGGGACGGAGAAGGCUAUGUUGGCCGGGCGACGGUUGUCCCGGUUUAAGCGUGUAGGUGUGUGUUCCAGGUAAAUCCGGUUCACUUUAACACUGAGGCGUGACGACGAGGCACUACGGUGCUGAAGCAACAAAUGCCCUGCUUCCAGGAAAAGCCUCUAAGCAUCAGGUAACAUCAAAUCGUACCCCAAACCGACACAGGUGGUCAGGUAGAGAAUACCAAGGCGCUUGAGAGAACUCGGGUGAAGGAACUAGGCAAAAUGGUGCCGUAACUUCGGGAGAAGGCACGCUGACACGUAGGUGAAGUGAUUUACUCAUGGAGCUGAAGUCAGUCGAAGAUACCAGCUGGCUGCAACUGUUUAUUAAAAACACAGCACUGUGCAAACACGAAAGUGGACGUAUACGGUGUGACGCCUGCCCGGUGCCGGAAGGUUAAUUGAUGGGGUCAGCGCAAGCGAAGCUCCUGAUCGAAGCCCCGGUAAACGGCGGCCGUAACUAUAACGGUCCUAAGGUAGCGAAAUUCCUUGUCGGGUAAGUUCCGACCUGCACGAAUGGCGUAAUGAUGGCCAGGCUGUCUCCACCCGAGACUCAGUGAAAUUGAACUCGCUGUGAAGAUGCAGUGUACCCGCGGCAAGACGGAAAGACCCCGUGAACCUUUACUAUAGCUUGACACUGAACAUUGAGCCUUGAUGUGUAGGAUAGGUGGGAGGCUUUGAAGCGUGGACGCCAGUCUGCGUGGAGCCGACCUUGAAAUACCACCCUUUAAUGUUUGAUGUUCUAACGUGGACCCGUAAUCCGGGUUGCGGACAGUGUCUGGUGGGUAGUUUGACUGGGGCGGUCUCCUCCUAAAGAGUAACGGAGGAGCACGAAGGUUGGCUAAUCCUGGUCGGACAUCAGGAGGUUAGUGCAAUGGCAUAAGCCAGCUUGACUGCGAGCGUGACGGCGCGAGCAGGUGCGAAAGCAGGUCAUAGUGAUCCGGUGGUUCUGAAUGGAAGGGCCAUCGCUCAACGGAUAAAAGGUACUCCGGGGAUAACAGGCUGAUACCGCCCAAGAGUUCAUAUCGACGGCGGUGUUUGGCACCUCGAUGUCGGCUCAUCACAUCCUGGGGCUGAAGUAGGUCCCAAGGGUAUGGCUGUUCGCCAUUUAAAGUGGUACGCGAGCUGGGUUUAGAACGUCGUGAGACAGUUCGGUCCCUAUCUGCCGUGGGCGCUGGAGAACUGAGGGGGGCUGCUCCUAGUACGAGAGGACCGGAGUGGACGCAUCACUGGUGUUCGGGUUGUCAUGCCAAUGGCACUGCCCGGUAGCUAAAUGCGGAAGAGAUAAGUGCUGAAAGCAUCUAAGCACGAAACUUGCCCCGAGAUGAGUUCUCCCUGAGACUUUAGGUCUCCUGAAGGAACGUUGAAGACGACGACGUUGAUAGGCCGGGUGUGUAAGCGCAGCGAUGCGUUGAGCUAACCGGUACUAAUGAACCGUGAGGCUUAACCUUACAACGCCGAAG
rnacentral:rRNA from 2 species